rnacentral:rRNA from 1 species
UACGUAGGGUGCAAGCGUUGUCCGGAAUUAUUGGGCGUAAAGAGCUCGUAGGCGGUCUGUCGCGUCGGCUGUGAAAACCCGGGGCUCAACCCCGGGCCUGCAGUCGAUACGGGCAGACUAGAGUGCGGUAGGGGAGACUGGAAUUCCUGGUGUAGCGGUGAAGUGCGCAGAUAUCAGGAGGAACACCGAUGGCGAAGGCAGUGGGCUGGGCCGGCACUGACGCUGAGGAGCGAAAGCGUGGGGAGCGAACAGG